UACGUAGGGGCCUAGCGUUGUCCGGAUUUACUGGGCGUAAAGCGCGUGUAGGCGGCUAUGUAAGUCGGGCGUGAAAUCCCACGGCUCAACCGUGGAAGUGCACCCGAAACUGCGUAGCUAGAGUCCUGGAGAGGAAGGUGGAAUGCUUGGUGUAGAGGUGAAAUUCGUAGAUAUCAAGCGGAACACCGGUGGCGAAGGCGGCCUUCUGGACAGUGACUGACGCUGAGACGCGAAAGCGUGGGGAGCAAACAGG
rnacentral:rRNA from 1 species